rnacentral:misc_RNA from 1 species
GUUGGCAACUAGGAAAUCUCUAUCUGAUGUUCAAGCCAGAAAUAAAACCAUUGAAAAGGAAAGAGAUCAAUUGCUUGAAAAGGUAGCUCGGUCUGAGGCUAAACAGAAGGAGUAUUUGUCCACCGUAAUGCAUGAUAAGGAUUUGGCCAUAUCAGAACUAGAGUCAGCCAAAGCUCUAUUUAACCGUAAGCUAGAAGAGUCUUUGGAGGAGAAAUUUAACUUGGAAUCUAAGUUGGUCCUGGCAAAACAAGAUGCUGUUGAACUUGCGGUUCAAGUUGAGAAGCUUGCUGAGAUUGCUUUUCAGCAGGCAACUUCUCACAUACUCGAAGAUGCACAAUUACGAGUUUCAGCUGCUGAAGCUUCUGCAGCAGAGGCUGCUUUUCAAAUU